UACGGAGGGUGCAAGCGUUAUCCGGAUUCACUGGGUUUAAAGGGUGCGUAGGAGGGCAGGUAAGUCAGUGGUGAAAUCUCCGAGCUUAACUCGGAAACUGCCGUUGAUACUAUCUGUCUUGAAUACCGUGGAGGUGAGCGGAAUAUGUCAUGUAGCGGCGAAAUGCUUAGAUAUGACAUAGAACACCAAUUGCGAAGGCAGCUCACUACACGAGCAUUGACUCUGAGGCACGAAAGCGUGGGGAUCAAACAGG
rnacentral:rRNA from 1 species